AAAAAGGCCCUUUUCAGGGCCAUAAAAAUUUACCAAAAAGAGAAA
rfam:Lasius niger Lnig_2.1_8490, whole genome shotgun sequence.